AACUCCGUCAACUCAGUUGGUUAGAGCGUCGCAACGGUAUCGUGAGGUCACGGGUUCAAGGUCACGGGUUCAAACCCCGUUGAAGUCC
rnacentral:tRNA from 1 species